rnacentral:rRNA from 1 species
UACGAAGGGGGCGAGCGUUGUUCGGAUUUACUGGGCGUAAAGGGCGCGCAGGCGGCUCAUUUUGUCAGGCGUGAAAGCCCGGCUUAACCUGGAAUUGCAUUUGGGACUGCAAGGCUGGAGUGUGGCAGAGGAGACUGGAAUUCCCGGUGUAGCAGUGAAAUGCGUAGAUAUCGGGAGGAAUACCGAUGGCGAAGGCAGGUCUCUGGGCUGACACUGACGCUCAUGCACGAAAGCGUGGGGAGCAAACAGG